CGGAAUACCUCAGCUGAUCGCACGAUUUUGCACCGGCGACACAUCUUUCAAGUGUCUGCCUUAUUGACUGUUGAUGGUAGUUAAUGCGACUACCAUGGUUGUAACGGGUAACGGAGAAUAAGGGUUCGACUCCGGAGAGGGAGCCUGAGAAACGGCUACCACAUCCAAGGAAGGCGCAAGCGCGUAAAUUACCCAAUCUCGGAACGAGGAGGUAAUGACCAAAAAUAACCAUACCGUUCUCAAUGAGGCCCGUUAUCGAAAUGAAUACAAUCCAAACCCUUUAACGAGGAUCUAUCAAAGGGUAUUCUGGUGCCAGCAGCCGCGGUAAUUUAGCUCUGAAGGUGUAUACCACCGUUGUUGCGUUUAAAAC
rnacentral:rRNA from 1 species